rnacentral:rRNA from 2 species
UUAAAUUGAAGAGUUUGAUCAUGGCUCAGAUUGAACGCUGGCGGCAGGCCUAACACAUGCAAGUCGAACGGUAACAGGAAGCAGCUUGCUGCUUCGCUGACGAGUGGCGGACGGGUGAGUAAUGUCUGGGAAACUGCCUGAUGGAGGGGGAUAACUACUGGAAACGGUGGCUAAUACCGCAUAACGUCGCAAGACCAAAGAGGGGGACCUUCGGGCCUCUUGCCAUCAGAUGUGCCCAGAUGGGAUUAGCUAGUUGGUGAGGUAACGGCUCACCAAGGCGACGAUCCCUAGCUGGUCUGAGAGGAUGACCAGCCACACUGGAACUGAGACACGGUCCAGACUCCUACGGGAGGCAGCAGUGGGGAAUAUUGCACAAUGGGCGCAAGCCUGAUGCAGCCAUGCCGCGUGUAUGAAGAAGGCCUUCGGGUUGUAAAGUACUUUCAGCGGGGAGGAAGGUGUUGUGGUUAAUAACCGCAGCAAUUGACGUUACCCGCAGAAGAAGCACCGGCUAACUCCGUGCCAGCAGCCGCGGUAAUACGGAGGGUGCAAGCGUUAAUCGGAAUUACUGGGCGUAAAGCGCACGCAGGCGGUCUGUCAAGUCGGAUGUGAAAUCCCCGGGCUCAACCUGGGAACUGCAUUCGAAACUGGCAGGCUUGAGUCUUGUAGAGGGGGGUAGAAUUCCAGGUGUAGCGGUGAAAUGCGUAGAGAUCUGGAGGAAUACCGGUGGCGAAGGCGGCCCCCUGGACAAAGACUGACGCUCAGGUGCGAAAGCGUGGGGAGCAAACAGGAUUAGAUACCCUGGUAGUCCACGCCGUAAACGAUGUCUACUUGGAGGUUGUGCCCUUGAGGCGUGGCUUCCGGAGCUAACGCGUUAAGUAGACCGCCUGGGGAGUACGGCCGCAAGGUUAAAACUCAAAUGAAUUGACGGGGGCCCGCACAAGCGGUGGAGCAUGUGGUUUAAUUCGAUGCAACGCGAAGAACCUUACCUGGUCUUGACAUCCACAGAAGAAUCCAGAGAUGGAUUUGUGCCUUCGGGAACUGUGAGACAGGUGCUGCAUGGCUGUCGUCAGCUCGUGUUGUGAAAUGUUGGGUUAAGUCCCGCAACGAGCGCAACCCUUAUCCUUUGUUGCCAGCGGUUAGGCCGGGAACUCAAAGGAGACUGCCAGUGAUAAACUGGAGGAAGGUGGGGAUGACGUCAAGUCAUCAUGGCCCUUACGACCAGGGCUACACACGUGCUACAAUGGCGCAUACAAAGAGAAGCGACCUCGCGAGAGCAAGCGGACCUCAUAAAGUGCGUCGUAGUCCGGAUUGGAGUCUGCAACUCGACUCCAUGAAGUCGGAAUCGCUAGUAAUCGUGGAUCAGAAUGCCACGGUGAAUACGUUCCCGGGCCUUGUACACACCGCCCGUCACACCAUGGGAGUGGGUUGCAAAAGAAGUAGGUAGCUUAACCUUCGGGAGGGCGCUUACCACUUUGUGAUUCAUGACUGGGGUGAAGUCGUAACAAGGUAACCGUAGGGGAACCUGCGGUUGGAUCACCUCCUUACCUUAAAGAA